UAUUCACUCAUCCUUAAUUAGUAAUGUGAGUGUACCUGAUGGUGUGGUUAUAGAACUGACAGCUGUGGUACUGAUAAAUUGACACGAGUACUACGUAUAUACAUAUUGUCUUGAUUUCGCAAACAAGACAGUAAUUUGGCUCAGCAUGGAAAGAAGCAUUUCUGUGCACUGUCAACCGCUUACCCCAUCCAAUGGUGAGUGUUACGUGUAUAGUCGGUGAGUGUUACGUGUAUAGUUGGUGAGUGUUACGGUGUAUAGUUGGUGAGUGUUACGGUGUAUAGUUGGUGAGUGUUACGGUGUAUAGCUGGUGUAUAGUAGGUGAGUGUUACGGUGUAUAGUUGGUGAGUGUUACGGUGUAUAGUUGGUGAAUGUUACAGUGUAUAGUUGGUGAGUGUUACGGUGUAUAGUUGGUGAGUGUUACGGUGUAUAGUUGGUGAGUGUUACGUGUAUAGUUGGUGAGUGUUACGGUGUAUAGUUGGUGAGUGUUACGGUGUAUAGUUGGUGAGUGUUACGUGUAUAGUUGGUGAGUGUUACGGUGUAUAGUUGGUGAGUGUUACGGUGUAUUGGUGAGUGUUACGUGUAUAGUUGGUGAGUGUUACGGUGUAUAGUUGGUGAGUGUUACGGUGUAUAGUUGGUGAGUGUUACGGUGUAUAGUUGGUGAGUGUUACGGUGUAUAGUUGGUGAGUGUUACGGUGUAUAGUUGGUGAGUGUUACGGUGUAUAGGUGGUG